GACGAACGCUGGCGGCGUGCCUAAUACAUGCAAGUUGAGCGCUGAAGGUUGGUACUUGUACCAACUGGAUGAGCAGCGAACGGGUGAGUAACGCGUGGGGAAUCUGCCUUUGAGCGGGGGACAACAUUUGGAAACGAAUGCUAAUACCGCAUAAAAACUUUAAACACAAGUUUUAAGUUUGAAAGAUGCAAUUGCAUCACUCAAAGAUGAUCCCGCGUUGUAUUAGCUAGUUGGUGAGGUAAAGGCUCACCAAGGCGAUGAUACAUAGCCGACCUGAAAGGGUGAUCGGCCACAUUGGGACUGAGACACGGCCCAAACUCCUACGGGAGGCAGCAGUAGGGAAUCUUCGGCAAUGGACGAAAGUCUGACCGAGCAACGCCGCGUGAGUGAAGAAGGGUUUCGGAUCGUAAAACUCUGUUGGUAGAGAAGAACGUUGGUGAGAGUGGAAAGCUCAUCAAGUGACGGUAACUACCCAGAAAGGGACGGCUAACUACGUG
rnacentral:rRNA from 1 species